CUCCUGAUGGCACAGUUGGUAGCGCGUUGGACUGUAAUUGAAAUUUGCAAAGAAAUCCACAGGUCGAGUCACCCUCAGGAGA
rnacentral:tRNA from 1 species